CCUACGGGUGGCAGCAGUGGGGAAUAUUGGACAAUGGGGGGAACCCUGAUCCAGCCAUGCCGCGUGUGUGAAGAAGGCCCUCGGGUUGUAAAGCACUUUCAGUGAGGAAGAACGCCUGGUGGUUAAUACCCAUCAGGAAAGACAUCACUCACAGAAGAAGCACCGGCUAACUCCGUGCCAGCAGCCGCGGUAAUACGGAGGGUGCGAGCGUUAAUCGGAAUUACUGGGCGUAAAGCGCGCGUAGGUGGCUUGAUAAGCCGGAUGUGAAAGCCCCGGGCUCAACCUGGGAACGGCAUCCGGAACUGUCAAGCUAGAGUGCAGGAGAGGAAGGUAGAAUUCCCGGUGUAGCGGUGAAAUGCGUAGAGAUCGGGAGGAAUACCAGUGGCGAAGGCGGCCUUCUGGACUGACACUGACACUGAGGUGCGAAAGCGUGGGUAGCAAACAGGAUUAGAUACCCGUGUAGUC
rnacentral:rRNA from 1 species